AUUGAACGCUGGCGGCAGGCCUAACACAUGCAAGUCGAGCGCGAAAGUCUUCGGAUGAGUAAAGCGGCGAACGGGUGAGUAAUGCACGGGAAUCUGCCUGGUAGUGGGGGACAACGUCUCGAAAGGGACGCUAAUACCGCAUACGCCCUACGGGGGAAAGGGGGGGAUCUUCGGACCUCUCGCUAUCAGAUGAGCCCAUGUCAGAUUAGCUAGUUGGUGAGGUAAAGGCUCACCAAGGCGACGAUCUGUAACUGGUCUGAGAGGAUGAUCAGUCACACUGGAACUGAGACACGGUCCAGACUCCUACGGGAGGCAGCAGUGGGAAUAUUGGACAAGUGGGGGCAACCCUGAUCCAGCCAUGCCGCGUGUGUGAAGAAGGCCCUAGGGUUGUAAA
rnacentral:rRNA from 1 species